rnacentral:rRNA from 1 species
UACAGAGGGUGCAAGCGUUAAUCGGAAUUACUGGGCGUAAAGCGUGCGUAGGCGGUUAUAUAAGUUAGGUGUGAAAUUCCUGGGCUUAACCUGGGAACUGCGCCUAAUACUGUGUAGCUAGAGUAUUGUAGAGGAAAGUAGAAUUUCCGGUGUAGCGGUGAAAUGCGUAGAUAUCGGAAGGAAUAUCAGUGGCGAAGGCGACUUUCUGGACAAAUACUGACGCUGAGGCACGAAAGCAUGGGGAGCAAACAGG